rnacentral:rRNA from 1 species
GGGUUGUGAGGUUAAGCGACUAAGCGUACACGGUGGAUGCCCUGGCAGUCAGAGGCGAUGAAGGACGUGCUAAUCUGCGAUAAGCGUCGGUGAGGUGAUAUGAACCGUUAUAACCGGCGAUUUCCGAAUGGGGAAACCCAGUGUGUUUCGACACACUAUCAUUAACUGAAUCCAUAGGUUAAUGAGGCGAACCGGGGGAACUGAAACAUCUAAGUACCCCGAGGAAAAGAAAUCAACCGAGAUUCCCCCAGUAGCGGCGAGCGAACGGGGAGGAGCCCAGAGCCUGAAUCAGUGUGUGUGUUAGUGGAAGCGUCUGGAAAGGCGCGCGAUACAGGGUGACAGCCCCGUACACAAAAAUGCACAUAUUGUGAGCUCGAUGAGUAGGGCGGGACACGUGGUAUCCUGUCUGAAUAUGGGGGGACCAUCCUCCAAGGCUAAAUACUCCUGACUGACCGAUAGUGAACCAGUACCGUGAGGGAAAGGCGAAAAGAACCCCGGCGAGGGGAGUGAAAAAGAACCUGAAACCGUGUACGUACAAGCAGUGGGAGCCUCUUAAUGGGGUGACUGCGUACCUUUUGUAUAAUGGGUCAGCGACUUAUAUUCUGUAGCAAGGUUAACCGAAUAGGGGAGCCGAAGGGAAACCGAGUCUUAACUGGGCGUUAAGUUGCAGGGUAUAGACCCGAAACCCGGUGAUCUAGCCAUGGGCAGGUUGAAGGUUGGGUAACACUAACUGGAGGACCGAACCGACUAAUGUUGAAAAAUUAGCGGAUGACUUGUGGCUGGGGGUGAAAGGCCAAUCAAACCGGGAGAUAGCUGGUUCUCCCCGAAAGCUAUUUAGGUAGCGCCUCGUGAAUUCAUCUCCGGGGGUAGAGCACUGUUUCGGCAAGGGGGUCAUCCCGACUUACCAACCCGAUGCAAACUGCGAAUACCGGAGAAUGUUAUCACGGGAGACACACGGCGGGUGCUAACGUCCGUCGUGAAGAGGGAAACAACCCAGACCGCCAGCUAAGGUCCCAAAGUCAUGGUUAAGUGGGAAACGAUGUGGGAAGGCCCAGACAGCCAGGAUGUUGGCUUAGAAGCAGCCAUCAUUUAAAGAAAGCGUAAUAGCUCACUGGUCGAGUCGGCCUGCGCGGAAGAUGUAACGGGGCUAAACCAUGCACCGAAGCUGCGGCAGCGACACUAUGUGUUGUUGGGUAGGGGAGCGUUCUGUAAGCCUGUGAAGGUGGCCUGUGAGGGUUGCUGGAGGUAUCAGAAGUGCGAAUGCUGACAUAAGUAACGAUAAAGCGGGUGAAAAGCCCGCUCGCCGGAAGACCAAGGGUUCCUGUCCAACGUUAAUCGGGGCAGGGUGAGUCGACCCCUAAGGCGAGGCCGAAAGGCGUAGUCGAUGGGAAACAGGUUAAUAUUCCUGUACUUGGUGUUACUGCGAAGGGGGGACGGAGAAGGCUAUGUUGGCCGGGCGACGGUUGUCCCGGUUUAAGCGUGUAGGCUGGUUUUCCAGGCAAAUCCGGAAAAUCAAGGCUGAGGCGUGAUAACGAGGCACUACGGUGCUGAAGCGACAAAUGCCCUGCUUCCAGGAAAAGCCUCUAAGCAUCAGGUAACAUCAAAUCGUACCCCAAACCGACACAGGUGGUCAGGUAGAGAAUACCAAGGCGCUUGAGAGAACUCGGGUGAAGGAACUAGGCAAAAUGGUGCCGUAACUUCGGGAGAAGGCACGCUGAUAUGUAGGUGAAGCGACUUGCUCGUGGAGCUGAAAUCAGUCGAAGAUACCAGCUGGCUGCAACUGUUUAUUAAAAACACAGCACUGUGCAAACACGAAAGUGGACGUAUACGGUGUGACGCCUGCCCGGUGCCGGAAGGUUAAUUGAUGGGGUUAGCGGUAACGCGAAGCUCUUGAUCGAAGCCCCGGUAAACGGCGGCCGUAACUAUAACGGUCCUAAGGUAGCGAAAUUCCUUGUCGGGUAAGUUCCGACCUGCACGAAUGGCGUAAUGAUGGCCAGGCUGUCUCCACCCGAGACUCAGUGAAAUUGAACUCGCUGUGAAGAUGCAGUGUACCCGCGGCAAGACGGAAAGACCCCGUGAACCUUUACUAUAGCUUGACACUGAACAUUGAGCCUUGAUGUGUAGGAUAGGUGGGAGGCUUUGAAGUGUGGACGCCAGUCUGCAUGGAGCCGACCUUGAAAUACCACCCUUUAAUGUUUGAUGUUCUAACGUGGGCCCCUUACCGGGGUUGCGGACAGUGUCUGGUGGGUAGUUUGACUGGGGCGGUCUCCUCCUAAAGAGUAACGGAGGAGCACGAAGGUUGGCUAAUCCUGGUCGGACAUCAGGAGGUUAGUGCAAUGGCAUAAGCCAGCUUGACUGCGAGCGUGACGGCGCGAGCAGGUGCGAAAGCAGGUCAUAGUGAUCCGGUGGUUCUGAAUGGAAGGGCCAUCGCUCAACGGAUAAAAGGUACUCCGGGGAUAACAGGCUGAUACCGCCCAAGAGUUCAUAUCGACGGCGGUGUUUGGCACCUCGAUGUCGGCUCAUCACAUCCUGGGGCUGAAGUAGGUCCCAAGGGUAUGGCUGUUCGCCAUUUAAAGUGGUACGCGAGCUGGGUUUAGAACGUCGUGAGACAGUUCGGUCCCUAUCUGCCGUGGGCGCUGGAGAACUGAGGGGGGCUGCUCCUAGUACGAGAGGACCGGAGUGGACGCAUCACUGGUGUUCGGGUUGUCAUGCCAAUGGCACUGCCCGGUAGCUAAAUGCGGAAGAGAUAAGUGCUGAAAGCAUCUAAGCACGAAACUUGCCCCGAGAUGAGUUCUCCCUGACUCCUUGAGAGUCCUGAAGGAACGUUGAAGACGACGACGUUGAUAGGCCGGGUGUGUAAGCGCAGCGAUGCGUUGAGCUAACCGGUACUAAUGAACCGUGAGGCUUAACCUUACAACGCCGAAG